rnacentral:misc_RNA from 1 species
GUAGGUGAACCUGCGGAAGGAUCAUUAAUAACGUAUCCACGUUUUUAUAAACCAACCUUUUAAACCAACCCGUGAACUUUGUUUGUAAUGAGGCAACUUAUUGCAGGCAAUUUUUUAAAACAACCUUUAUUUUUACCAAAAACACAUUGUACAUUACAACUUGUCUGAAAUACGAAGAUUGAAGAGAGCGCAGUGUAAAAAGCUGCUGUUUUUGAAAAUCUUUGCUUUAUUGCAAAAACUUAAAAAACAA